rnacentral:rRNA from 1 species
GAUGAACGCUGGCGGCGUGCCUAAUACAUGCAAGUCGAGCGAACGGACGAGAAGCUUGCUUCUCUGAUGUCAGCGGCGGACGGGUGAGUAACACGUGGAUAACCUACCUAUAAGACUGGGAUAACUUCGGGAAACCGGAGCUAAUACCGGAUAAUAUUUUGAACCGCAUGGUUCAAAGGUAAAAGACGGUCUUGCUGUCACUUAUAGAUGGAUCCGCGCUGCAUUAGCUAGUUGGUAAGGUAACGGCUUACCAAGGCAACGAUGCAUAGCCGACCUGAGAGGGUGAUCGGCCACACUGGAACUGAGACACGGUCCAGACUCCUACGGGAGGCAGCAGUAGGGAAUCUUCCGCAAUGGGCGAAAGCCUGACGGAGCAACGCCGCGUGAGUGAUGAAGGUCUUCGGAUCGUAAAACUCUGUUAUUAGGGAAGAACAUAUGUGUAAGUAACUGUGCACAUCUUGACGGUACCUAAUCAGAAAGCCACGGCUAACUACGUG